rnacentral:rRNA from 1 species
UACGUAGGGUGCGAGCGUUGUCCGGAAUUACUGGGCGUAAAGAGCUCGUAGGUGGUUUGUCGCGUUGUCCGUGAAAACUCACAGCUUAACUGUGGGCGUGCGGGCGAUACGGGCAGACUGGAGUACUGCAGGGGAGACUGGAAUUCCUGGUGUAGCGGUGGAAUGCGCAGAUAUCAGGAGGAACACCGGUGGCGAAGGCGGGUCUCUGG